CAAUAGCGUAUAUUUAAGUUGUUGCAGUUAAAAAGCUCGUAGUUGGAUUUCGGGUUGGCUUCAGCGGUCUCGCUUUGCGUUUGUACUGCUGCAGCCUACCUUCUUGUCGGGGACGGGCCUUCGGGCUUAAUUGCUUGGGGCCCGGAGUCGACGAUGUUACUUUGAGUAAAUUAGAGUGUUCAAAGCAAGCCUACGCUCUGAAUAUAAUAGCAUGGGAUAACACGACAGGACUCUGGCCUAUCGUGUUGGUCUGUAGGACCAGAGUAAUGAUUAAGAGGGACAGUCGGGGGCAUUCGUAUUCCGUUGUCAGAGGUGAAAUUCUUGGAUUUACGGAAGACGAACAUCUGCGAAAGCGUCUGCCAAGGAUGUUUUCAUUGA
rnacentral:rRNA from 1 species